GCCNNNACNAACGCUGGCGGCGUGCCUAAUACAUGCAAGUAGAACGCUGAAGGACGGAGCUUGCUUCUCUGGAUGAGUUGCGAACGGGUGAGUAACGCGUAGGUAACCUGCCUGGUAGCGGGGGAUAACUAUUGGAAACGAUAGCUAAUACCGCAUAASAGUAGAUGUYGCAUGACAUUUGCUUAAAAGGUGCAAUUGCAUCACUACCAGAUGGACCUGCGUUGUAUUAGCUAGUUGGUGGGGUAACGGCUCACCAAGGCGACGAUACAUAGCCGACCUGAGAGGGUGAUCGGCCACACUGGGACUGAGACACGGCCCAGACUCCUACGGGAGGCAGCAGU
rnacentral:rRNA from 1 species